rnacentral:ncRNA from 1 species
AAACGAUAAUAGCAAACCUAUCGAAAGGUAGGGACGCAAAGCUAAAGGGCCUUCUUGAUAAGAUGGCAGCCUGGCCACCGAA